UACGUAGGGGGCUAGCGUUGUCCGGAAUUCAUUGGCGUAAAGCGCGUGUAGGCGGUCCGGUAAGUCCGCUGUGAAAGUCGAGGGCUCAACCUCGAAUGCCGGUGGAUACUGUCGGGCUUGAGUUUGGGAGAGGGACGCGGAAUUCCAGGUGUAGCGGUGAAAUGCGUAGAUAUACUGGAGGAACACCGGUGGCGAAGGCGGCGUCCUGGACCAACACUGACACUGAGGAGCGAAAGCCAGGGGAGCAAACGGG
rnacentral:rRNA from 1 species